rnacentral:rRNA from 1 species
AACGAACGCUGGCGGCGUGCCUAACACAUGCAAGUCGAGCGCGAAUGGAGCAAUCCUAGUAGAGCGGCGCACGGGUGCGUAACACGUGGGUAAUCUGCCUCAAAGCCCGGGAUAACCUGCCGAAAGGCAAGCUAAUACCGGAUAAGCCUACGGACUCUUCGGGGUCUGAAGGAAAAGGUGGCCUCUGUAUACAAGCUAUCACUUUGAGAUGAGCCCGCGGCCCAUCAGCUCGUUGGCGGGGUAACGGCCCACCAAGGCAACGACGGGUAGCUGGUCUGAGGAGGGCGACCGGCCACACUGGGACUGAGACACCGGCCCAGACUCCUACGGGAGGCAGCAGUGGGGAAUCUUGCGCAAUGGGCGAAAGCCUGACGCAGCGACGCCGCGU